rnacentral:rRNA from 1 species
UGGGGAAUAUUGCACAAUGGGCGCAAGCCUGAUGCAGCCAUGCCGCGUGUAUGAAGAAGGCCUUCGGGUUGUAAAGUACUUUCAGCGGGGAGGAAGGAGGUGUGGUGAAUAACCACAGCAAUUGACGUUACCCGCAGAAGAAGCACCGGCUAACUCCGUGCCAGCAGCCGCGGUAAUACGGAGGGGGCAAGCGUUAAUCGGAAUUACUGGGCGUAAAGCGCACGCAGGCGGUCUGUCAAGUCGGAUGUGAAAUCCCCGGGCUCAACCUGGGAACUGCAUCCGAAACUGGCAGGCUUGAGUCUUGUAGAGGGGGGUAGAAUUCCAGGUGUAGCGGUGAAAUGCGUAGAGAUCUGGAGGAAUACCGGUGGCGAAGGCGGCCCCCUGGACAAAGACUGACGCUCAGGUGCGAAAGCGUGGGGAGCAAACA